rnacentral:rRNA from 1 species
AUGCUUGUACCGCAGGGCAUCAACAUGAAGGAGAUCACGACGAAGAAGAAGAAGAUGAAGAAGCCGUCGGUUGUCUUCAGUGCUGGCGAGACCGAUGAGGAGGCGAUGACGAGGUUUGCUCGGGAGCAUCCGGAGUGCGUCCAGGCCGAGCUGGAGUACUACUGGAAGCGUGAGGCGGAGAAGAAGAAGAAGGGGCCGAAGGAGGAUGAGGCCGGUCCCUCGACGGUGAUCCCCAUCGAGUCCUCUUCCGAGGAGGACUGGGCAGACUUCUCAGAAGAGGAGGGGUGCGACGACUCGACAAAGGAGAAGUUCUGGGAGCAAUUCCGUAGCUCCAAUGAGUAG